GAGGUGCUAAUCCAUCUGGUUGGAUGUAUGAGGAGCAGUUUGUGAAAUUCCUUCAACACUUUGUGAGGUAUGUGAAAUAUUCAAACCUUUGCCUUCUCUU